GACGAACACUGGCGGCAUGCCUAACACAUGCAAGUCGAACGAGAUCUUCGGGUCUAGUGGCGCACGGGUGCGUAACGCGUGGGAAUCUGCCCUUUGGUUCGGAAUAACAGUUGGAAACGACUGCUAAUACCGGAUGAUGACGAAAGUCCAAAGAUUUAUCGCCAGAGGAUGAGCCCGCGUAGGAUUAGCUAGUUGGGGUGGUAAAGGCGCACCAAGGCGACGAUCCUUAGCUGGUCUGAGAGGAUGAUCAGCCACACUGGGACUGAGACACGGCCCAGACUCCUACGGGAGGCAGCAGUGGGGAAUAUUGGACAAUGGGCGAGAGCCUGAUCCAGCAAUGCCGAGUGAGUGAUGAAGGCCUUAGGGUUGUAAAGCUCUUUUACCCGGGAUGAUAAUGACAGUACCGGGAGAAUAAGCUCCGGCUAACUCCGUGCCAGCCGCCGCGGUAA
rnacentral:rRNA from 1 species